GACGAACGCUGGCGGCGUGCUUAACACAUGCAAGUCGAACGGGUCUGCCCUGUUUUUUGCGGGGUGGGUCAGUGGCGAACGGGUGAGUAACACGUGAGUAACCUGCCCCUCACUUCUGGAUAACCGCUUGAAAGGGUGGCUAAUACGGGGUGUUCUGGCUGUGCCGCAUGGUGUGGCUGGGAAAGAUUCACUUUUGUGGUGUUUUGGUGGGGGAUGGGCUCGCGGCCUAUCAGCUUGUUGGUGGGGUGAUGGCCUGCCAAGGCUUUGACGGGUAGCCGGCCUGAGAGGGUGGGCGGUCACACUGGGACUGAGAUACGGCCCAGACUCAUGCGGGAGGCAGCAGUGGGGGGUAUUGCACAAUGGGCGGAAGCCUGAUGCAGCGACGUCGCGUGAGGGAUGGAGGCCUUCGGGUUGUGAACCUCUUUCGCCGGUGAAGAAGGUCCUGCUCUUUGUGGUGGGGUUGACGGUAGCCGGGUUAUGAAGCGCCGGCUAACUACGUG
rnacentral:rRNA from 1 species